UACAGAGGGUGCGAGCGUUAAUCGGAAUUACUGGGCGUAAAGCGCACGUAGGUGGCUUGGCAAGUCGGGUGUGAAAUCCCCGGGCUCAACCUGGGAACUGCAUUCGAGACUGCCUUGCUAGAGUAUGGGAGAGGGAAGUGGAAUUUCCGGUGUAGCGGUGAAAUGCGUAGAUAUCGGAAGGAACAUCAGUGGCGAAGGCGGCGAGCUGGCCUGUACCUGAUGCUGAGGCGCGACAGCGUGGGGAGCAAACAGG
rnacentral:rRNA from 1 species